GGCAGCAUUUUCUCCUCUCCUUUCGGUUAGGGAGGUCCAGUGGUUGCUAAGCUAAAGGAGGUUAUAAAGGAAGUUUGAAACCUCCUUUCCUAUCAUUCUAGAGAAUUCAAACGGCACUUAUGAUGGCUGCCACUGAGGGACUUCCGGUUAAUUUCACUCGGUUAGGAAGGUUCCUAAGCAAAAUGGACUAUUCGAACGCAACCUUAGAUGUCCUUCAACAUGGCACGCUGAAAUCCAUUUCCGGGUCACUACCAGAGGACAGAGGAGUCGAGGAGGGGAAAUUAGUUAAAUGAGAAAGGGCCCUUGCCUUGCCUGAGCAACAGUAUGAAGUUAGGCUUGUUUGGACACACUGCAGAGGUCAGAGGUCAGGUAAAGUGCCAGAUGCCUCACCUUUGCAUUUCCCUCUGCCUACAGGGUUGUUUGGUGACACUGAAGACUUUGUUUGAGGAUAAUUUCCUCACCACCGGGAUCUCUGUCAUCGUCCUCUGCAUUAUCGAGGUGCUGGGAAUGUGUUUCGCCAUGACGCUCUUCUGCCACAUCAGCAGAUCUGGACUGGGCUACAAGUUAUAGACUUUACAACUUUGAUCUUUUAUCUAUGUUUUUCACAGUUAAUAUCCUUUAAGGAAUCAUGUCUAAUCGAUGAUGCUGAGAAAUCUGAAAAGAUCAGAAAAUAGUUAUCUUGUGAAAAUGUGAUUUUACUAAUCUUUGACCUUAGCAUAGAAGAAAAUAAUGUAUCAACUAUAAAUUGGAAGACCAUUUUUAAGACAUGACCGCGGUGUCCUUUAACGGAGUGAAGCUUUUUAGAUGCUUUUCAGUCUGCACUGUGUGCAGGGAGACGACUGUUGCCGUUGGUUUCUCCAGACUUUUCUACAUUGUGUCUUUUGAGAAGAAUAAUUGCAGUAGGAAAAAAGAGCUUUUUCUGUAAAAUACAUGACAUAUAUUCUGUAACUUUCUAACAAAGACUCAUCCUGUAAUAUACCAAUAAAGUAUUAUUUACAGUA